rnacentral:tRNA from 1 species
GCCCCUAUAGCUCAGUUGGUAGAGCUACGGACUUUUAAUCCGCAAGUCACGAUGCUUCUACCUGCGCAAAUGAUACCCUUAGGGGGCA